GGUUAACCUAAAUCUAUUAUUCCAUUCUCUUGUCUUCACCGCCGAAAGCUUCUUCAUCUCUUCAAUGGCGAUUUGUUCUUCCUCUUCACACUUACAUCGUCUCUAUUCUAUAUUUUUGCUUAGUUGUUCAUAUGCAUGUAAACUGUCUAGCAAUUCUGAACAGAAUUUUCCAUGUAUGCAUCUGCGAAAAACUCUAGAGCAAUAUCUUAUGCUCGUGUUUUGGUCCAAGUCUUGGUGAAAACGUAUCCGCGGAAAAUCUCCUCAAGACAGUGCAAGGGAUUUUCUUAGCUGUUCAUAUGCGGUACUUGACAAGCUGUAUGCGGAAUCUAUUGUCGCAGUAAAUCCCAUAAAGAUGUUAGAGACUCAGAGCUUUGAUGGUCUGUUUCCUUUCACAUUAUUUACUGUAGCAAACUAAACCAUAACAUCAAACGUAUCUGAUCAUAGGUGGUGAUUUGGAUGAUGGAGAAAGAGCACAAGAUAACCCAAACAUAUUUUAGUGAAUAACUAUAUUUAAAUUCUGGAUCAAAAAUAAUAAAAGUCUUUUUUGUUAUAUUGGUUAAAACCCUUGUAAAAUUAUCAUAGAUGGCGGGUUCAAAACCACAGAGUAUCCUUUUUUUACUGUUGUUCGAAUUUUAAUUAAUUCAAAGAUUGUUGGAGAGAAAAAAAACCGAGAGAGAAAAUAGUGCGAGAUUUAAGGAAGAUUUUGUAUAAGAAUUAGGAAACAUCUAUAACCGAAAAUGGAAGUUUUCAUAUUUUUUGAAUUUGACUAGAAUACACAAUAUACCUAACUCAUAACAUAGUACAACACGUGCAACGCCUAUUCUUCCUUAGGCGUCACAUAAGGUAAAAGGCAAAAGAGUUUAUAACACAACAUCUAAGUAAGGUACAUCAUAGAGUUCGUGCUAUAUGUCGUUAUAUAUCUGCUGGUACACUGAAGACAUAUUGCUAGACUGUGACGUAACUAAUUCUAACUCAGAUAUAAGGUAGAAGAAACCUUAGUUUAUGAUAUAUAUCUUAGAUAUAUCUAUGUAUUAAACUUAGUAUUCGUUUUCUGGAUUAAGCAGACUAAUGUAAUGUGUAUUCUAUUUUGGUUAGAAGAGAAAAUAAAAGAUGAUUCUCCAUUUUAAAAAUAAAUAAAUUUAAACAUAUAAAUUAUCAUACAUAUGUUUCCAAUCAUUUUCAUAUUUUUUAACAUUUAAAGUUAUGUUUACUAUUUUUUUCCAUGAACGAAGGACAAAACAUGUAAAAAAUUGCCAAAAAUAUGAAAAAUCUUAAAUGGACAAACAAAAGUUCAAAGGGUCUCUUUUUUCCAAUUCUCCCUUUUUAAUAUUGUUAACUCAAUCAGUAAAAUACUAAACCCUAAAUCCUAAAUUUUUGGGUAAAUUCUAAAUCUUUGAAUAAAUCAUAAACUUUAAAUCAUAAAUCUUAAAUCAUAAACAUUAAAAACUAAAUCUUAAUAACAUUAAACCCUAAAUCCUUAACUCUAAACUCUAAACCGUUGGAUAAAUCCUAAACUCUAGAAUUUAUGAUUUAUCAAAGGGUUCAGAGUCUACCCAAAGAUUUAGGGUUUAGUGUUUAUGAUUUAGGGUUUAAUAUUUUGUUGACGGCGUUAACAAUAUUAAAAAAAAAUUAAACUAUUACUAUUUUAUGUAUUUUUAUCUUAAUCAUAAAUACUAAAUCAUAAAUCGAAAACACUAAACCGUAAAUCCUAAACUUUUGGAUAAACCUUGAACCUUUGGAUAAAUCCUAAAAUCCAAGGUUUAGGAUUUAUCCAAGGGUUUACAGUUAAUAGUUAUUGAUUUAGAGUUUAGUGUUAUUAAGAUUUAAUUUUUAAUGUUUAUGAUUCAUUGUUUAGGAUUUAUCCAAAGAUUUAAGGUUUAUCCAAAUGUUUAUAGUUUAUCCAAAGGUUUAUGAUUUAUGAUUUAUU